rnacentral:rRNA from 1 species
GACGAACGCUGGCGGCGUGCUUAACACAUGCAAGUCGAACGAUGAAGCCUUAGCUUUCUUUGGUGGAUUAGUGGCGAACGGGUGAGUAACACGUGAGCAACGUGCCCAGGACUCUGUAAUAACCGCUGGAAACCGUGGCUCAUACCGGAUAGGUGCCGAGGCCGCAUGUUCUUCGGUUGUAAAGUGUUUUCUUUUCUGGAUCGGCUCACGGCGUAUCAGCUUGUUGGUGGGUUAAUGGCCUACCAAGGUGACGAGGGGUAGCCGGCCUGGGAGGGUGACCGGGCACAGUGGGACUGAGACAGGGCCAGGAGUCCAACGGGAGGCAGCAGUGGAAAAUAGUGGACAAAGGGCGCAAGGCUGAUGGAGCAUCGCCGGGUGGGGGAUGACGGCCUUCAGGUUGUAAACAUCUUUUAGUAGGGAAGAAGCGCAAGUGAGGGUACCUGCAGAAAAAGCACCGGCUAACUACGU